rnacentral:rRNA from 1 species
CCCAGUGAUAAAUUAUUUAACGGCCGCGGUAUUUUGACCGUGCAAAGGUAGCAUAAUCAUUUGCCUUUUAAUUGGAGGCUGGAAUGAAUGGAUAUAUGAAAUUAUAACUGUCUCCUAAUUAUGUAUAAAAAUUAUCUUAUAGGUGAAGAGACCUAUAUAUUAAUAAAAGACAAAAAGACCCUAUUGAUCUUUAUUCUUAUAAGAUUUUUUAGAAUUAAUAACUUUAUAACUUAAUAGAAUUUGGUUGGGGCGACUAAGAAAUAUAUAAAUCUUUCUUUAUUUUAAUGAAUAUCUUUUCUUAUUAAUGAUCUAUUUUUUUUUUAAUAAAUGGAAAUAGUUACCAUAGGGAUAACAGGCUAAUUUUUUUGGAGAGUUCAUAUUGAUAAAAAAGUUUGGCACCUCAAUUUUGGCU